GACGAACGCUGGCGGCGUGCUUAACACAUGCAAGUCGAACGGAAAGGCCCUGCUUUUGUGGGGUGCUCGAGUGGCGAACGGGUGAGUAACACGUGAGUAACCUGCCCUUGACUUUGGGAUAACUUCAGGAAACUGGGGCUAAUACCGGAUAGGCGCUCCUGCUGCAUGUGGGGGUUGGUAAGGUUCGGCGGGUGGGGCUGGACUCGCGGCUUAACCGCUUGUUGGUGGGGUUGUGGGUUACCAAGGCUUUGACGGGUAGCCGGCCUGAGAGGGUGACCGGCCACAUUGGGACUGAGAUACGGCCCAGACUCCUACGGGAGGCAGCAGUGGGGAAUAUUGCACAAUGGGCGGAAGCCUGAUGCAGCAACGCCGCGUGCGGGAUGACGGCCUUCGGGUUGUAAACCGCUUUCGCCUGUGACGAAGCGUGAGUGACGGUAAUGGGUAAAGAAGCACCGGCUAACUACGUG
rnacentral:rRNA from 1 species